rnacentral:rRNA from 1 species
AUGGAAUUGGCAAACAAGUUCGAACAUACAAGUGCAACGACAAGGGAGUUUACAUUUGAGUUCUUGGAACAAAUUACAGACAAUUUUUCUGAUGAGCACGUCAUUGGUCGUGGUGGGUAUGGAGUAGUUUACAAGGGGGUACUAGAAAAUGGGGAAGAGAUUGCUCUCAAAAAGCUCCAUUACAUGCCGGGGCUUGGUGACACGCAAUUUAGGAAUGAAUUUAAUAACCUUAUGAGGGCCCAACAUCCAAAUAUUACCCGGUUGGUUGGCUAUUGCUAUCAUCUAGGACAUCAACGCAUUAAGUACAAAGGUGAAUAUAUUUUUGCCCAUGUGGAAGAAAGAGUUCUCUGCUUCGAAUACUUGCAAGGUGGAAGCCUUGACAAGCAUAUUUCUGAUGAAUCAUGUGGACUCGAUUGGCAGACACGUUUCAAAAUUAUUAAGGGAGUUUGUCUGGAUCCGAUUUACCAUCUUGACUUGAAACCUGCUAAUAUAUUGCUGGACAAGAACAUGGUCCCGAAAAUUGGAGAUUUUGGUUUGUCAAGACUCUUCCCUUCAGCACAAACCUAUAUCACUAUCAACAUUAUAGGAACACCUGGAUACAUGCCACCAGAAUACAUUGAUAGAAACGAAAUCACAUCAAAGUAUGAUGUAUUCAGCCUGGGUGUUAUAAUCAUACGGAUAAUGGCAGGAGAUGAGGGCUACUCCAAAUGCGCACAUAUGUCUUCGCAAGAAUUUCUUGAGCAUAUACAUGAAAACUGGAGAAAACAGUUUCAGGGAACAAUGUUGUCACAUACAUCAGAUCAAGUUAAGACAUGCAUCGAAAUAGCAUUAAGGUGUGUGCAGGUUGACCGUGAGAAAAGGCCUACCAUAGCCAAGAUUGUCGAUGAACUAAACAAGGUUGGUACAGUUCACCUGUAG